rnacentral:misc_RNA from 1 species
GAUGAAGAACGUAGCGAAAUGCGAUAAGUAAUGCGAAUUGCAGAAUUUCCGUGAGUCAUCGAAUCUUUGAACGCUCAUUGCGCCCCCUGGUAUUCCGGGGGGCAUGCCUGUCCGAGCGUCAUUACAACCCUCAAGCUCAGCUUGGUAUUGGGCCCCGCCGACCCGGCGGGCCCUAAAGUCAGUGGCGGUGCCGUCCGGCUCCGAGCGUAGUAAUUCUUCUCGCUCUGGAGGUCCGGUCGUGUGCUCGCCAGCAACCCCCAAUUUUUUUCAGGUUGACCUCGGAUCAGGUAGGGAUACCCGCUGAACUUAAGCAUAUCAAUAAGCGGAGGA